AUCCUUCAUGGUGAGAUGCUAAAGUAUCGUAAUGAAGGUUUUAAAUAGCUUCUUCCUGGUUGUAAAAGUUCAUUCCAGGAAACAAUAUUGGAACUGGGAACUGGUGGGGCUGUUAAGGCUGUAGCCCUUGCUCUAGGCAUUUCCCCUUCUCAGAGCUGGAGAUGACUCACUACCCCAGCAUUUGCCUGUUUCACUGAUGAGGCUUUACCUCCCUUUCAAUUUGAGGUGUGCUUAGGGAAAGCAAGCCAAGGUGCUGCGCAUAACAACUCCAGCCUGUGGCUAAGUGAUCGUGUGCUGGAGCCAUCAGUCCAGGACUCUCUCGUGGUCCAGCUCCGACAUUUACAAAACGUCUGACUAUCUGGAAGCUCAAGAACCACAUUCUGCCAGUUGAAGGAAUCAGGCAAGAAUUUGAAGGUGGAAGAGAAGCAGAAGCAAUGAUAGCUUCCAUGACUACAGCAGACAGAUGGCUGGCCUUUCAAGGAUGCAGUGUUUUGCCAGUGGCUCCCAGCUGUUUUCCUGAAAAUCACCCACACCCAUACUGCAGAAGACUGAGGAUACUGCUGAGAAUUGUCUGUGAUUCCUGACUUUCUGAUUUCCUCAUCCUUACCUCUCCAGUCCCAUGUGUAAUGGUGAAAAUCUUUAUUUCUCCAUAUUAAACUGCCUUAAGCUUGAAGUACUGGAGAGGUUUGCUUCUCCCUGCCUCUCGUUCUCCUGGUUUGUGAAACCACCUUAGUGACUCACUUCUAUGUAAAUCUAUGCUCUUGUCCUCAUCACCAGCAAACCCUCAAUAAUAUCGAUGUAAAGCUACCCGGUUUCUGACCACAAUCUUCUGAAUUUCCAGCUGUGUUCUUCUGGUUACUAGAGCAAUGACUCCAACUGAUAAUUGAAGUAACCAGAAUUGACAAUCCACUGGUCUUAUCACAACUCACUUAUGUCCUCACAUUUUACUUAACCAGUUAAGAAUCCAUAGUCUGUUAUAAUUACUCACUUAACAUUUGCCCUCAGCUCUCUUACUCCUCUUUCACUUAAAAAUCCCAAGCCUGACUAAAUUUACCUCUCCUGCAGAAAAUCCAUUUUAAAUCAGAUCGAAUCCAUGACUAACAGCCUCAAAUAUAUUCUUAGUAUUACUGGUAAAUCCUAUCACAUUUCCCAAUUUAGUCUCCCAAUCUCCUGGAUUAUUAUUUUAUAAUUUCUACUCUUUCUUUUAAUCUGAUGUGGUUUCUUAUCUAUCCUCUCUCAGCAGAAGUUGUAGGUAAUCUGAAGAAAAUUGUUCCAAGUUCCUUCCAGCAUCCCUCACGCUGUAAUCUGGACGCCUACGUGAUUCCCUCUUCCUGUUACCAUGGAGGAACUGUUUAUAUUUUGAUCAAAGGCAAAACCUUUCACUUGUGCUCAAGAUGCCAACUCUCCCACUCGCUCAUGAACAUUGUUCCAGAAAGUUUAGUGUCUCUGUUCUGUGUCAUAAAGUUUCUCUCUCUGGUGAGCAUGAUGCAUAAGGAGAACAGCAUGAAACGUGAUAUAACUUCUCCCAUCUUACAAACACUUUUCUCUUUACCCCACGUCAACCUUACAGGUAUCACCCACUGCUCUGUUCUUAUUUACAACAAAACUCUUUGACAGUGUUGUCUGUACCUUCUGUUUCUAAUUCCUUCCCUCCAUUCUUUCUUAAAUCCUUUUUAACUAGACUUUUAGCUCCACUAUGCAAAAAAAAAAAGAGAGAGAGAGAGAAAAUGGUCACAAACAACUUCCAUGUUGUUAAACCCAAUGGUCAUGUCUCAGUCCUAAUUUUAUUUGUCCUAUCUGGUGUAGUUGCCACAACUGAUUCAUCCCCGUUCCUUGAAACACUGUCUAUACCAGCCUUCUAGAAAACAGUCCUGUCCCUCCACUAGACUCUAAACAUUCAUAACUCUUGUCCACCUACACUGGCACCUGUGAUGAUGUCUUCAAAUUUAAAUAUUGCCUAUACAGUAAGGACUCUUCUAUUUAUAUCUCCUGCUCAGACCUCUUCCUCGAGGUAAGUGUCUAUCUGCUCACAUCUGCACUUAGAGUAGAAGCUUCUCAAACUUACCUGUGCAGAACUGAACUCUUGAUCUGCAUCUCUGCCAAACUUGCUCUUUCCUCAUUUUUAAUUCUGUUACAGUAAACGCAAACUAUAUCUUCUCUAGUGGUUCCUGCCAAAAACUUUGGAGUUUUCUUCAACUUCCUUUUUUUGUUUUCU
rnacentral:lncRNA from 1 species